GACGUAGGGGGCAAGCGUUGUCCGGAAUCAUUGGGCGUAAAGCGCUCGUAGGUGGAUCGGUAAGUCUGCAAAGAAAGACCCGGGCUCAACUCGGGGAACGGUGUGGAUACUACCGAUCUUGAGGCAAUCAGAGGAUGAUGGAAUUCCCGGUGUAGCGGUGAAAUGCGUAGAUAUCGUAAGGAAGACCAGUGGCGAAGGCGGGUCCCUGGACGAUACCUGACACUGAGGCACGAAAGCCGGGGGAGCAAACAGG
rnacentral:rRNA from 1 species